UAUAGAGGUCACGUAGAGAGGGGUAUAGAGGUCAGGUAUAGAGUUCACGUAGAGAGGGGUAUAGAGGUCACGUAGAGAGCAGAAUAUAGAGGUCAAGUAGAGAGGGGUAUAGAGGUCACGUAGAGAGGGGUAUAGAGGUCAGGUAUAGAGGUCACGUAGAGGGGUAUAGAGGUCACAUAGAGAGGGGAAUAUAGAGGUCAAGUAGAGAGGGUUAUAGAGGUCACGUAGAGAGGGGUAUAGAGGUCACGUAGAGAGGGGUAUAGAGGUCACGUAGAGAGGGGUAUAGAGGUCACGUAGAGAGGGGUAUAGAGGUCACGUAGAGAGGGGUAUAGAGGUCACGUAGAGAGGGGUAUAGAGGUCACGUAGAGAGGGGUAUAGAGGUCACGUAGAGAGGGGUAUAGAGGUCAGGUAUAGAGGUCACGUAGAGAGGGGUAUAGAGGUGACGUAGAGAGGGGUAUAGAGGUCACGUAGAGAGGGGUAUAGAGGUCAGGUAUAGAGGUGACGUAGAGAGGGGUAUAGAGGUCACGUAGAGAGGGGUAUAGAGGUCACGUAGAGAGGGGUAUAGAGGUCAGGUAUAGAGGUCACGUUGAGAGGGGUAUAGAGGUCAGGUAUAGAGGGGUAUAGAGGUCACGUCGAGAGGGGUAUAGAGGUUACGUAGAGACUAUUUGUUGACAUGGUAUAGUUGUGUGAUGUUUCCCAGCGGGAAAGUUGCCUUUCCAGGAAGUAAAAUAUUCAAAUUACCAGGGACUCUUCCAUAGUUUAUAUUUCAACAAAACAGAAAUCAUGAAAUAAGUGAAUAUUCACUGGUGCUGUCCAUGUUGCUGAAGGUGAUUUAUCUUGU
rnacentral:lncRNA from 1 species